rnacentral:rRNA from 1 species
UACGUAGGGUGCAAGCGUUGUCCGGAAUUAUUGGGCGUAAAGGGCUCGUAGGCGGUUUGUCGCGUCGGGAGUGAAAACUCAGGGCUUAACCCUGAGCCUGCUUCCGAUACGGGCAGACUAGAGGUAUGCAGGGGAGAAUGGAAUUCCUGGUGUAGCGGUGAAAUGCGCAGAUAUCAGGAGGAACACCAGUGGCGAAGGCGGUUCUCUGGGCAUUACCUGACGCUGAGGAGCGAAAGUGUGGGGAGCGAACAGG